UCUACGGGUGGCAGCAGUGGGGAAUAUUGGGCAAUGGGCGCAAGCCUGACCCAGCAACGCCGCGUGAAGGAAGAAGGCUUUCGGGUUGUAAACUUCUUUUGUCAGGGAAGAGUAGCAGAGGGUAUCUGAGGAAUCAGCCACGGCUAACUACGUGCCAGCAGCCGGAGUAAUAUGGAGGUGGCAAGCGUUGUACGGAUUUACUGGGUGUAAAGGGCGUGUAGCCGGGUUGACAAGUCAGAUGUGAAAUCCUGCGGCUUAACCGCAGAACUGCAUUUGAAACUGUUGAUCUUGAGUACGGGAGAGGCAGACGGAAUUCCUAGUGUAGCGGUGAAAUGCGUAGAUAUUAGGAGGAACACCAGUGGCGAAGGCGGUCUGCUGGACAGCAACUGACGGUGAGGCGCGAAAGCGUGGGGAGCAAACAGGAUUAGAUACCCCAGUAGUC
rnacentral:rRNA from 1 species